rnacentral:lncRNA from 1 species
UCCUCUCUAGUGAUCUAGCCAGGUCUAUUCCUCUCUAGUGAUCUAGCCAGGUCUAUUCCUCUCUAGUGAUCUAGCCAGGUCUAUUCCUCUCUAGUUAUCUAGACAGGUUUAUUCCUCUCUAGUGAUCUAGACAGGUCUAUUCCUUUUUACUGAUCUAGCCAGGUCUAUUCCUGUGUACUGAUCUAGACAGGUCUAUUCCUGUAUACUGAUCUAGACAGGUCUAUUCCUGUAUACUGAUCUAGACAGGUCUAGUCCUAUUUUCUAGAUUUGUACAAGAAUGGAAUACAGAGGGUCAACUUUGUGCCAUUCAUUGCUGUGUUGAAGAACUAUUGCCAUGAGCUUCGGCUAGACUCUGGGAUAGACUACCGCAGGAGAAACAGAUCCUCGGGUGGAUAGCUGUACUUCCUGCUGUACUUCCUGUAAUGACUGCAUGGUGCAAACCAUGGAUACAACCAUGAAGCAUUUCAAUGCCCCACUCACUGUAUUGGGGAUUAGUAAGUGAACCUGGUGUGAAGGCAAUGUUGGACAAGAUUUCUGACAAACUGGACUUCAAACGGAACGACAGUAAGAGGCUAAUAUUGUCCUUGAGUGUAAAUGAAGAGGGGUUGGUUUGAGCUAUCCAUACAUUAUGGAUUUAUGAUAUGAACAUAAGAGGGGUUGGUUUGAGCUAUCCAUACAUUAUGGAUUUAUGAUAUGAACAUAAAAUUCUGUAUUGAUGGUUUACUUAAAAAUACCAUGAGACUCAUCGUGAUCAUCAUGUAGAGUUUUAUUACUUGUCAUUUAGCUAAACCAUUGAAAAGAAAAAGGCGCAAUUCACGCUUACCAUUACAAACUCUGUGUUUUCUUUAAGCAAAGUGUCACGUCCUGACCAGCAGAUGGAGCUGUUGUAGUAGUUUUGGGGUCAGGACGUGGCAGUCUUGUGUGUGUGAAUGUUCUGUGUUGGUCUUGUGACUCCUGAUCAGGAACAGCUGGGGAUCGUUGUUCCUGAUUGGGAGUCAUAUAUGUAGGAGUAUGUUUGUCACUUGGUUUUG